AGGAUGAACGCUGGCGGCGUGCUUAACACAUGCAAGUCGAACGGUGAAGCCCAGCUUGCUGGGUGGAUCAGUGGCGAACGGGUGAGUAACACGUGAGCAACCUGCCCCUGACUCUGGGAUAAGCGCUGGAAACGGUGUCUAAUACUGGAUACGAACCACGAAGGCAUCUUCAGUGGUUGGAAAGAUUUAUCGGUUGGGGAUGGGCUCGCGGCCUAUCAGCUUGUUGGUGAGGUAAUGGCUCACCAAGGCGUCGACGGGUAGCCGGCCUGAGAGGGUGACCGGCCACACUGGGACUGAGACACGGCCCAGACUCCUACGGGAGGCAGCAGUGGGGAAUAUUGCACAAUGGGCGAAAGCCUGAUGCAGCAACGCCGCGUGAGGGAUGACGGCCUUCGGGUUGUAAACCUCUUUUAGCAGGGAAGAAGCUUUCGGGUGACGGUACCUGCAGAAAAAGCACCGGCUAACUACGUGCCAGC
rnacentral:rRNA from 1 species